rnacentral:rRNA from 1 species
AAUUCGAUUAACGCGAAGAACCUUACCUACUCUUGACAUCCAGAGAAGCUUUUAGAGAUAGAGGCGUGCCUUCGGGAACUUUGAGACAGGUGCUGCAUGGCUGUCGUCAGCUCGUGUUGUGAAAUGUUGGGUUAAGUCCCGCAACGAGCGCAACCCUUAUCCUUUGUUGCCAGCGAUACGGUCGGGAACUCAAAGGAGACUGCCGGUGAUAAACCGGAGGAAGGUGGGGAUGACGUCAAGUCAUCAUGGCCCUUACGAGUAGGGCUACACACGUGCUACAAUGGCGUAUACAGAGAGAGGCGAGCCUGCGAGGGGAAGCGGAACUCAGAAAGUACAUGAGUCCGGAUUGGAGUCUGCAACUCGACUCCAUGAAGUCGGAAUCGCUAGUAAUCG